rnacentral:rRNA from 1 species
GAUUAUGUCUCGUUGGUGACCAGCGGAGGGAUCAUUACAGAGUUGCAAAACUCCCACAAACCAUCGCGAAUCUUACCCGUACGGUUGCCUCGGCGCUGGCGGUCCGGAAGGCCCUCGGGCCCCCGGAUCCUCGGGUCUCCCGCUCGCGGGAGGCUGCCCGCCGGAGUGCCGAAACCAAACUCUUGAUAUUUUAUGUCUCUCUGAGUAAACUUUUAAUUAAGUCAAAACUUUCAACAACGGAUCUCUUGGUUCUGGCAUCGAUGAAGAACGCAGCGAAAUGCGAUAAGUAAUGUGAAUUGCAGAAUUCAGUGAAUCAUCGAAUCUUUGAACGCACAUUGCGCUCGCCAGUAUUCUGGCGAGCAUGCCUGUUCGAGCGUCAUUUCAACCAUCAAGCUCUGCUUGCGUUGGGGAUCCGCGGCUGCCCGCGGUCCCUCAAAAACAGUGGCGGGCUCGCUAGUCACACCGAGCGUAGUAACUCUACAUCGUUCUGGUCGUGCGGCGGGUUCUUGCCGUAAAACCCCCCAAUUUCUAAGGUUGACCUCGGAUCAGGUAGGAAUACCCGCUGAACUUAAGCAUACAAAAAG